AUGCCUGAGGACAAGCCAGACAAUACAUAUUGGACUAUUCAUUUUGAUGGAUCCAGGCAAUUGGAAGGCUCGGGGGCUGGAGUUAUAUUGACUUCCCCACGAGGUGAUAAAUUUUGUUAUGUUUUAAGGUUGAUGUUCCCUUGUACUAACAAUGCAGCUGAGUAUGAAGCCUUACUCCAUGGCCUUCGCAUGGCUAAAGAGAUGAAUCUAAGCUGGGUAAGAUGUUUUGGUGACUCAGAUUUGGUGGCUCAGCAAGUGUCAAGGACUUGGGAUUCAAAGGAUCCACUCAUGGCGGCUUAUCGCCAAGAGGUUGAUAAUAUUGCUGGUCAUUUCAAGGGUUAUCAAGUGGAUCAUGUUGAUCGCAGGAAAAAUGAGGUUGCUGAUACCUUAAGCCGACUGGGAUCUUAG
rnacentral:rRNA from 1 species